rnacentral:rRNA from 1 species
GAUGAACGCUGGCGGCGUGCCUAAUACAUGCAAGUCGAGCGAACGGACGAGAAGCUUGCUUCUCUGAUGUUAGCGGCGGACGGGUGAGUAACACGUGGAUAACCUACCUAUAAGACUGGGAUAACUUCGGGAAACCGGAGCUAAUACCGGAUAAUAUUUUGAACCGCAUGGUUCAAAAGUGAAAGACGGUCUUGCUGUCACUUAUAGAUGGAUCCGCGCUGCAUUAGCUAGUUGGUAAGGUAACGGCUUACCAAGGCAACGAUGCAUAGCCGACCUGAGAGGGUGAUCGGCCACACUGGAACUGAGACACGGUCCAGACUCCUACGGGAGGCAGCAGUAGGGAAUCUUCCGCAAUGGGCGAAAGCCUGACGGAGCAACGCCGCGUGAGUGAUGAAGGUCUUCGGAUCGUAAAACUCUGUUAUUAGGGAAGAACAUAUGUGUAAGUAACUGUGCACAUCUUGACGGUACCUAAUCAGAAAGCCACGGCUAACUACGUGCCAGCAGCCGCGGUAAUACGUAGGUGGCAAGCGUUAUCCGGAAUUAUUGGGCGUAAAGCGCGCGUAGGCGGUUUUUUAAGUCUGAUGUGAAAGCCCACGGCUCAACCGUGGAGGGUCAUUGGAAACUGGAAAACUUGAGUGCAGAAGAGGAAAGUGGAAUUCCAUGUGUAGCGGUGAAAUGCGCAGAGAUAUGGAGGAACACCAGUGGCGAAGGCGACUUUCUGGCCUGUAACUGACGCUGAUGUGCGAAAGCGUGGGGAUCAAACAGGAUUAGAUACCCUGGUAGUCCACGCCGUAAACGAUGAGUGCUAAGUGUUAGGGGGUUUCCGCCCCUUAGUGCUGCAGCUAACGCAUUAAGCACUCCGCCUGGGGAGUACGACCGCAAGGUUGAAACUCAAAGGAAUUGACGGGGACCCGCACAAGCGGUGGAGCACGUGGUUUAAUUCGAAGCAACGCGAAGAACCUUACCAAAUCUUGACAUCCUUUGACAACUCUAGAGAUAGAGCCUUCCCCUUCGGGGGACAAAGUGACAGGUGGUGCAUGGUUGUCGUCAGCUCGUGUCGUGAGAUGUUGGGUUAAGUCCCGCAACGAGCGCAACCCUUAAGCUUAGUUGCCAUCAUUAAGUUGGGCACUCUAAGUUGACUGCCGGUGACAAACCGGAGGAAGGUGGGGAUGACGUCAAAUCAUCAUGCCCCUUAUGAUUUGGGCUACACACGUGCUACAAUGGACAAUACAAAGGGCAGCGAAACCGCGAGGUCAAGCAAAUCCCAUAAAGUUGUUCUCAGUUCGGAUUGUAGUCUGCAACUCGACUACAUGAAGCUGGAAUCGCUAGUAAUCGUAGAUCAGCAUGCUACGGUGAAUACGUUCCCGGGUCU